rnacentral:rRNA from 1 species
AUUGAACGCUGGCGGCAUGCUUUACACAUGCAAGUCGGACGAGUGGCGAACGGGUGAGUAACGCAUCGGAACGUACCGACUAAUGGGGGAUAACUUUCCGAAAGGGGUGCUAAUACCGCAUUUUAUUCGAACGGCCGAUGUCUGAUUAGCUGUUUGGGGGGGUAAAGGCCCACCAAGGCGACGAUCAGUAGCGGGUCUGAGAGGAUGGUGCGCCACACGGGGAAUUAGAAACGGUCCAGAGUCCUACGGGAGGCAGCAGUGGGGAAUAUUGCACAAUGGGCGCAAGCCUGAUGCAGCCAUGCCGCGUGUGUGAAGAAGGCCUUCGGGUUGUAAAGCACUUUCAGCGGGGAGGCGUUACCCGCAGAAGAAGCACCGGCUAACUCCGUGCCAGCAGCCGCGGUAAUUC